UGGGGGUCUCGGCCGUGGGGUCUCGGUGCCGUGGGGGGGAGGUGGGGGCGGGGUUGGCAUCGGGCCCCACGCCGCGGGGCGUCCCCACCCAAUAGGGCCGAGCGCGUGGGAACGGGGCCGGAACCGGCUCGACCGGCUCGGGGGGGUCACCGCCUCAGCGCCGCCGCGAGUGGAGGAGGAGGAGGAGGAGGAGGCCCGGGGGGGUCCCCGGGGGGUCCCCGUGGGGUGGGCACGAGGACGCGUCCGGCCGGGUGGGAUGCGAGACCCCACGCGUGUCCGCGGGGCGGGAGCGGGGAGAGAACGGGACGGGCGGGGGGAUGUGAGCGACCCCCGGAUCAUCGCUGUGAGCGACCCCCGGAUCAUCGCUGCCCGCUCCGCGGUCACGCGUGGGGCUGACAACGGGGGCAGCUCGUGGUGCCUNGCACUGUCCCGUCCGUGUCACGCGUGUCACGCAUCCCCCCCCUCCCACGGAGCCCCGCGACGCCGGGGGACUUUUCACGGGGGGACACGCGCUGCCCUGGGGACCCACGGCCACGGCCCCACGGACACGGGCGGAGCCGCAGCCCGCAGAGCCCCCACGAUGCGUUGUGACACGAGUGGCCGUGGGCAACCGAGGAUACAGACACACAGACCCACGGACACGGACGGACCCCGCGUCCCCCCGCCCCGCUCUCACUCUGCCCCCCCUCAACCUGGACACACGUGGGGGGACACGCGUGGCCGUGGGGUCCCACGCUCGGUGCCACGCGGAGCCGCGGACGCGCACGGCCGUUCCCACGCGCACAGCAGUGACCCCCCAACCCCCCGGUACCUGCAGAGCUGAUGAGGACGACGCCGACCCAGCCCAGGAUGUAGGACCAGGAGAAGCUCCAGGCGCUGCCCCGUGUCACCACCGAGCACAGGGACAGAGCCAGCAGCGCCAGCAGCCCUGGGGGGGACAGGGGGGGGUCAGGGUUGCAGGGAACGGACACAGCUCAGUGCAGUGAUGGCACAGCAGAGAACAGACACAGCACAGCUCAGUGCUGCAAUGAACGGACACAGCUCAGUGCAGUGAUGGCACAGCAGAGAACAGACACAGCACAGCACUGAUGCUGCUGAUGGCUGCAGAGAACGGCCAGCUCAUGGCAGCAGUGAUGCAGCACGGCUCAUUACAACAGAGAGCAGACACAGCACAGCUCAGUGCUGCAUUGAAUGGACACAGCUCAGUGCUGCAAUGAACAGACACAGCUCCGUGCUGCAGUGACACAGUGUCGCGUCCCCCCGUAUCCCCCCACGUACCAGCCAGCCCCAUACUGAUCCCAGCCGCUCGUCCCUGCUCCCUCCGAGCGGCUCCAGCCGCCGACAGCCCCAUAAGGAAACCCAGAGCAGCAGCCAGAACCGCCAGCAGCAGCAGAACCCGAACGGCGACCCAAAGAGCUGCGGGAUGAAUGAGGGGAUAUGGGGACAGAAUGGGAGUGAAUGAGGGGAUAUGGGGACAGUACGGGAAUGAAUGAGGGGAUAUGGGGACAGUAUGGGAAUGAAUGAGGGAAUAUGGGGACAGAAUGGGAAUGAAUGAGGGGACGUGGGGACAGUAUGGGAAUGAAUGAGGGGACGUGGGGACAGUAUGGGAGUGAAUGAGGGGACAUGGGGACAGUAUGGGAAUGAAUGAGGGGACGUGGGGACAGUAUGGGAAUGAAUGAGGG
rnacentral:lncRNA from 1 species